rnacentral:rRNA from 1 species
AUUGAACGCUGGCGGCAGGCCUAACACAUGCAAGUCGAACGGUAACAGGAAGAAGCUUGCUUCUUUGCUGACGAGUGGCGGACGGGUGAGUAAUGUCUGGGAAACUGCCUGAUGGAGGGGGAUAACUACUGGAAACGGUAGCUAAUACCGCAUAACGUCGCAAGACCAAAGAGGGGGACCUUCUGGCCUCUUGCCAUCGGAUGUGCCCAGAUGGGAUUAGCUAGUAGGUGGGGUAACGGCUCACCUAGGCGACGAUCCCUAGCUGGUCUGAGAGGAUGACCAGCCACACUGGAACUGAGACACGGUCCAGACUCCUACGGGAGGCAGCAGUGGGGAAUAUUGCACAAUGGGCGCAAGCCUGAUGCAGCCAUGCCGCGUGUAUGAAGAAGGCCUUCGGGUUGUAAAGUACUUUCAGCGGGGAGGAAGGGAGUAAAGUUAAUACCUUUGCUCAUUGACGUUACCCGCAGAAGAAGCACCGGCUAACUCCGU